GUCGCAAGACCAAAGUGGGGGACCUUCGGGCCUCAUGCCAUCAGAUGUGCCCAGAUGGGAUUAGCUAGUAGGUGGGGUAACGGCUCACCUAGGCGACGAUCCCUAGCUGGUCUGAGAGGAUGACCAGCCACACUGGAACUGAGACACGGUCCAGACUCCUACGGGAGGCAGCAGUGGGGAAUAUUGCACAAUGGGCGCAAGCCUGAUGCAGCCAUGCCGCGUGUGUGAAGAAGGCCU
rnacentral:rRNA from 1 species